AACGAACGCUGGCGGCAGGCCUAACACAUGCAAGUCGAGCGAGGACUUCGGUCCUAGCGGCGGACGGGUGAGUAACGCGUGGGAACGUGCCCUUUGCUUCGGAAUAGCCCUGGGAAACUGGGAGUAAUACCGGAUGAGCCCUUUGGGGGAAAGAUUUCUCGGCGAAGGAUCGGCCCGCGUUGGAUUAGGUAGUUGGUGGGGUAAUGGCCUACCAAGCCGACGAUCCAUAGCUGGUUUGAGAGGAUGAUCAGCCACACUGGGACUGAGACACGGCCCAGAAUCGUACGGGAGGCAGCAGAGGGGAAUAUUAGACAAUGGAGGAAACUCUGAUCUAGCCACGCCGGGUGAGCGAGGAAGGCCUUAGGGUUGUAAAGCUCUUUCAGCUGGGAAAAUAAUGACGGUACCAGCAGAAGAAGCCCCGGCUAACUCCGUG
rnacentral:rRNA from 1 species